AGAGUUUGAUCAUGGCUCAGAAUCAACGCUGGCGGCGUGCCUCAGACAUGCAAGUCGAACGCGAAAGCUCCCUUCGGGGAGCAAGUAGAGUGGCGCACGGGUGAGUAACACGUAGGUAAUCUACCUUUGGAUGGGGAAUAACAACCGGAAACGGUUGCUAAUACCGCAUAAUGCAGCGGCACCUAAUGGUGACAGUUGUUAAAGCGGGGGAUCGCAAGACCUCGCGUCUGAAGAGGAGCCUGCGGCGGAUUAGCUAGUUGGUAGGGUAACGGCUUACCAAGGCGAUGAUCCGUAGCCGGCCUGAGAGGGCGGUCGGCCACACUGACACUGACAUACGGGUCAGACUCCUACGGGAGGCAGCAGUCGGGAAUUUUGGGCAAUGGGCGAAAGCCUGACCCAGCAACGCCGCGUGAAGGAUGAAAUCCCUCGGGAUGUAAACUUCGCAAGAACGGGAAGAAUAAGUCUGCGCAAAUAUCGCAGAUGAUGACGGUACCGUUUGUAAGCUCCGGCUAACUCCGUGCCAGCAGCCGCGGUAAUACGGGGGGAGCAAGCGUUGUUCGGAUUUACUGGGCGUAAAGGGCGCGUAGGCGGCCACCGCAAGUCGACUGUGAAAUCUCCGGGCUUAACCCGGAACGGUCAGCCGAUACUGCGGGGCUAGAGUGCAGAAGGGGCAACUGGAAUUCUCGGUGUAGCGGUGAAAUGCGUAGAUAUCGAGAGGAACACCUGCGGCGAAGGCGGGUUGCUGGGCUGACACUGACGCUGAGGCGCGAAAGCUAGGGGAGCGAACGGGAUUAGAUACCCCCGUAGUCC
rnacentral:rRNA from 1 species